rnacentral:rRNA from 1 species
CCUAACACAUGCAAGUCGAACGGUAACAGGAAGAAGCUUGCUUCUUUGCUGACGAGUGGCGGACGGGUGAGUAAUGUCUGGGAAACUGCCUGAUGGAGGGGGAUAACUACUGGAAACGGUAGCUAAUACCACAUAACGUCGCAGGACCAAAGAGGGGGACCUUCGGGCCUCUUGCCAUCGGAUGUGCCCAGAUGGGAUUAGCUAGUAGGUGGGGUAACGGCUCACCUAGGCGACGAUCCCUAGCUGGUCUGAGAGGAUGACCAGCCACACUGGAACUGAGACACGGUCCAGACUCCUACGGGAGGCAGCAGUGGGGAAUAUUGCACAAUGGGCGCAAGCCUGAUGCAGCCAUGCCGCGUGUAUGAAGAAGGCCUUCGGGUUGUAAAGUACUUUCAGCGGGGAGGAAGGGAGUAAAGUUAAUACCUUUACUCAUUGACGUUACCCGCAGAAGAAGCACCGGCUAACUCCGUGCCAGCAGCCGCGGUAAUACGGAGGGUGCAAGCGUUAAUCGGAAUUACUGGGCGUAAAGCGCACGCAGGCGGUUUGUUAAGUCAGAUGUGAAAUCCCCGGGCUCAACCUGGGAACUGCAUCUGAUACUGGCAAGCUUGAGUCUCGUAGAGGGGGGUAGAAUUCCAGGUGUAGCGGUGAAAUGCGUAGAGAUCUGGAGGAAUACCGGUGGCGAAGGCGGCCCCCUGGACGAAGACUGACGCUCAGGUGCGAAAGCGUGGGGAGCAAACAGGAUUAGAUA